GCCCAUCGGGGCCGCGGAUACCUGCU
rnacentral:ncRNA from 1 species